UACGGGGGGAGCAAGCGUUGUUCGGAAUUACUGGGCGUAAAGGGCUCGUAGGUGGCCAACUAAGUCAGACGUGAAAUCCCUCGGCUUAACCGGGGAACUGCGUCUGAUACUGGAUGGCUUGAGUUUGGGAGAGGGAUGCGGAAUUCCAGGUGUAGCGGUGAAAUGCGUAGAUAUCUGGAGGAACACCGGUGGCGAAGGCGGCAUCCUGGACCAAUACUGACACUGAGGAGCGAAAGCCAGGGGAGCAAACGGG
rnacentral:rRNA from 1 species